UAUGUUGUCUGUAGCUCUGCUAGUGUUCUUAGCUGCUGGAUGUGUCAAGUGUGAACAGCUGACACAGCCAGACUCUUUGAGUGUGCUUUCAGGUCACCCUCUGACCAUCACCUGUAAGCUGUCUUAUUCCGUGCGCAGCUAUUGGACUCACUGGAAUAGACAGGCUCCAGGAAAAGGACUGGAGUGGAUUGGAAGAGCAGCUUCUGGAAGCACGCCUCACUACAGCCCUUUACUCAGAAACAAGUUCAGCAUUUCCACCGACUCUUCCAGGAACACAGUGAUUCUAACUGGACAGAAUGUGCAACCUGAAGACAGUGCUGUGUAUUACUGUGCCAGAGACUCACAGUGA